AACUUUCAGCAACGGAUCUCUUGGCUCUCGCAUCGAUGAAGAACGCAGCGAAAUGCGAUAAGUAAUGUGAAUUGCAGAAUUCAGUGAAUCAUCGAAUCUUUGAACGCACCUUGCGCUCCUUGGUAUUCCGAGGAGCAUGCCUGUUUGAGUGUCA
rfam:Postia placenta Mad-698-R POSPLscaffold_4926_Cont10531, whole genome shotgun sequence.